rnacentral:rRNA from 1 species
AGAGUUUGAUCCUGGCUCAGAUUGAACGCUGGCGGCAUGCCUUACACAUGCAAGUCGAACGGCAGCACGGGAGCAAUCCUGGUGGCGAGUGGCGAACGGGUGAGUAAUGUAUCGGAACGUACCAUUGAGUGGGGGAUAACGUAGCGAAAGUUACGCUAAUACCGCAUAUACCCUGAGGGGGAAAGCAGGGGAUCGCAAGACCUUGUGCUCUUUGAGCGGCCGAUACCAGAUUAGCUAGUUGGUGAGGUAAAGGCUCACCAAGGCGACGAUCUGUAGCGGGUCUGAGAGGAUGAUCCGCCACACUGGAACUGAGACACGGUCCAGACUCCUACGGGAGGCAGCAGUGGGGAAUUUUGGACAAUGGGGGCAACCCUGAUCCAGCCAUGCCGCGUGAGUGAAGAAGGCCUUCGGGUUGUAAAGCUCUUUCGGCCGGGAGGAAAUCGCAUCAGUUAAUACCUGGUGUGGAUGACAGUACCGGAAUAAGAAGCACCGGCUAACUACGUGCCAGCAGCCGCGGUAAUA